rnacentral:rRNA from 1 species
CCAAUAGCGUGUAUUAAAGUUGUUGCAGUUAAAAAGCUCGUAGUUGAACUUCGGGGUUCACCCAUUGGUCAGGCUUAAUUGUCUGUACUGGUGAGAUGAAUCUCUACCUUCUGAGGAACUUUCAUGCCAUUUAUUUGGUGUGAUGGGAAAUCAGGACUGUUACUUUGAAAAAAUUAGAGUGUUUAAAGCAGGCUAACGUCUGAAUACAUUAGCAUGGAAUAAUGAAAUAGGACGGAUUGAUUCUAUUUCGUUGGUUUCUAGGAUCACCGUAAUGAUUAAUAGGGAUAGUUGGGGGCAUUAGUAUUCAAUUGUCAGAGGUGAAAUUCUUGGAUUUAUUGAAGACUAACUACUGCGAAAGCAUUUGCCAAGGAUGUUUUCAUUAAUCAGGAACGAAAGUUAGGGGAUCGAAGACGAUCAGAUACCGUCGUAGUCUUAACCAUAAACUAUGCCGACUAGGGAUCGGACGAAGUUAAUUUUAUAAUGACGCGUUCGGCACCUUACG